CCAACGUGGAUACCUCGGGAGGUCACUCUCCCCGGGCUCUGUCCAGGUGGCGUAGGGGAGCGUAGGGCUCUGCCCCGUGAUGUACAGUCCCUUUCCACGGCGUUGGAGAUGAAGCUGGGCUUUCGAGUCUGCGCCUGCAUAUUCCUACAGCUUCUCAGAGUCCUGUGGACAAUGACUGAGGAGACAAACCAUGCAGGAAACAGCU
rnacentral:snoRNA from 1 species